rnacentral:rRNA from 1 species
AUUUAACAAAUUAUUUUUAUAAUUAGUUUAUUUUUAGUUAAAAAAAUUAAUUUAUAAUUUUAUUAAAAUUAAGAAAAAAUUUUUUUUUUAUAGUUUAUUAGUAUUGUAUAAGAACUUUAAUAAAUUUUUAAAAGAAGAAUUUUUUUUUUGUACCUUGUGUAUCAGGGUUUAUUAAAAAAAAUUUAUAUAUUUAAAUUUCCCGAAUUUAGAUGAGCUAAUCGUUAUAUAAAUUUUAUUGUAAAAUAAAUAUUUAAAAUAUUCGGUUAGUAAUUAGAUGUUAUUCGUUUCUAAAUAUAUCUGGUUUUUUAAGAAAUAAGUUUAAUUUAUUCUGUUUUUAUUAAUUUUUUAAAUUUUAAUUAGUUAAUUAAGUAGAAUUAUGUUUUAGGGGAUGAGCUUUAAAAUAAAUUUUUAUAAGCAAGGUAUAUUUAUAAGAAAAAUAGGAUUGGAAUUUUUCAUUUUUAUAAAAAUGUUAUAAUUAAUCUUUAUAAUAAUUAUGAUUUGUAUUUAUUUUUAAAUUUUUUAUUAAAGUUUAAUUUUGAAUUGUUUCAAGUUAGGAAUAAUAAUAAAAUUAGUAUAUAUUUUUAUAUAAUUAAAUUAAACUAAUAAGUUUAUUUAAAGGAAUUCGGCAAAUAAUUUUUCACCUGUUUAUUAAAAACAUGGCUUUUUGAUUAUAAUUUAAAGUCUAGCCUGCCCACUGAAAUUUUAAAUGGCCGCGGUAUCCUGACCGUGCAAAGGUAGCAUAAUCAUUAGUUUUUUAAUUGAAAGCUGGAAUGAAUGGUUGGAUGAGAAAAUGACUGUCUCUAUUUAAUUAUUUUGAAUUUUAUUUCUAAGUAAAAAAGCUUAGAUUUAAUUAAAAGACGAGAAGACCCUAUAGAAUUUUAUAAUUUUGAAUAAUAAUUUUUUUUUGAAUUAUAUCUUUUUAUAUUCAAUUUUAUUUCGUUGGGGGGAUGGAAAAAUUAAAUAAACUUUUUUUAUUUAAAUUCAUUGAUUUAUGAGUUAUUGAUCCACGAAUUGUGAUUAUAAGAUAAAAUUACCUUAGGGAUAACAGCGUAAUUUUUCUAAAGAGUUCUAAUCGAAAGAAGAGUUUGCGACCUCGAUGUUGGAUUAAAAUUAAUUUUUGGUGUAGAAGCUAAAAAUAUUGGGUCUGUUCGACCUUUAAAAUUUUACAUGAUCUGAGUUUAAACCGGUGUGAGCCAGGUUGGUUUCUAUCUUUAAUAAAAUAAAAUAUUUUAGUACGAAAGGACCAAAUAUUGAAUAAUUUAUUUUUUAUUGAAUAUUAUU